rnacentral:piRNA from 1 species
UAAUCCCCUCCUGUACCAUGCUGGGA